GCUGGGACCCCGCCAGCCCUCGAGCGCGGCCAUUCGCCGCGUUCUGCCCUCUCCCCCCUUUCCUCACGCUGGUGGUGGCCCUUUCCUCAGUCCUGCUGAUGUCCUCCAGCUGAUUCCAGGCUGUUCCCGGCCACCCCUGAGGCCGUCCUUUCGCUUCUUGUAAAAGCCUCCCCGCCUCCUGAGCUCCCUCGGUCGCCUCCCGAGAAGCCAACGGGCCUCUCUGGUGGAGCGUUAGGUUGACAGCGUUUUAGCAGGACCGCGAGAAACCGGGGAGAUCCUCUUACGAGGAAAAACUCCAAGAUUACAUCCCUGUUAUCUUUCCUCCAAGUAGUUUCUGAUCAUAAGUUAUUUGUUUAAAAAUGAUGUUUUAAUUAGAAUUUAUUUGAUGGCUUUUAAAAAACUUUUACUGACACUCAACAUGUUUGUUUUUGUAGGAGCUGACUAAGGCUUUGGAACAGAAACCAGAUGAUGCACAUAUAUUAUCGUCAAAGAGCUUAUUGUCACAUUCUUCU
rnacentral:lncRNA from 1 species